GAGGACCCAGCGAGGGUGGAGCACAGUCUGAGAGCUGUUGAGUGAGAACACUUCUACAGCCAGAGAGUCAAGAAAUGGAACAGCAAGGCCACAGAACAUCACACACGCAGAGCUGUGGGAGACCACCUGAAGCAUUCCCCUGGUAGAGCCAGGGGAUGUGUUAACCACACCACCACCAAACGCCUUUAACAGGCUUGAAAAGUGGGUUUGAUCUGUUUGAUCCAUUUUAUUUGUUUCAGUUUUCAUUAGUUGAAUCCUUCGACUUACUGUUGA